AUUUAAAUAGCUUAUAAAGAGCGUAAUAUUGAAGAUAUUAAGGAAAUAAUUAUUAUUUUUAAAUA
rnacentral:tRNA from 1 species